rnacentral:rRNA from 1 species
UGGUGGAGUGAUUUGUCUGGUUAAUUCCGUUAACGAACGAGACCUCAGCCUGCUAGUUAGUUUUACCAAAUUUUAUUUGAGUAGGAUAUCCUAGAGGGACUACCGAUGAUUAGUCGGGGGAAGUUUGAGGCAAUAACA